rnacentral:rRNA from 1 species
UGCAAGUCGAACGGCAGCGCGGACUUCGGUCUGGCGGCGAGUGGCGAACGGGUGAGUAAUAUAUCGGAACGUACCCCAGUAGCGGGGGAUAACUACUCGAAAAGAGUAGCUAAUACCGCAUACGCCCUACGGGGAAAGGGGGGGAUCGCAAGACCUCUCACUAUUGGAGCGGCCGAUAUCGGAUUAGCUAGUUGAUGGGGUAAAGGCCUACCAAGGCGACGAUCCGUAGCUGGUUUGAGAGGACGACCAGCCACACUGGGACUGAGACACGGCCCAGACUCC